AUUGAACGCUGGCGGCAGGCCUAACACAUGCAAGUCGAGCGGAUGAAGGGAGCUUGCUCCUGGAUUCAGCGGCGGACGGGUGAGUAAUGCCUAGGAAUCUGCCUGGUAGUGGGGGAUAACGUCCGGAAACGGGCGCUAAUACCGCAUACGUCCUGAGGGAGAAAGUGGGGGAUCUUCGGACCUCACGCUCUCAGAUGAGCCUAGGUCGGAUUAGCUAGUUGGUGGGGUAAAGGCCUACCAAGGCGACGAUCCGUAACUGGUCUGAGAGGUUGAUCAGUCACACUGGAACGGGGACACGGUCCAGACUCCUACGGGAGGCAGCAGUGGGGAAUAUUGGACAAUGGGCGAAAGCCUGAUCCAGCCAUGCCGCGUGUGUGAAGAAGGUCUUCGGAUUGUAAAGCACUUUAAGUUGGGAGGAAGGGCAUUAAGUUAAUACCUUGCUGUUUUGACGUUACCAACAGAAUAAGCACCGGCUAACUUCGUG
rnacentral:rRNA from 1 species